rnacentral:rRNA from 1 species
UACCGGCGGCUCGAGUGGUGGCCACUAUUACUGGGCUUAAAGCGUUCGUAGCUGGUCUGUUAAGUCUCUGGGGAAAUCUACUGGCUUAACCAAUAGACGUUUCAGGGAUACUGGCAGACUAGGGACCGGGAGAGGUGAGAGGUACUCCAGGGGUAGGAGUGAAAUCCUGUAAUCCUUGGGGGACCACCUGUGGCGAAGGCGUCUCACCAGAACGGCUCCGACAGUGAGGGACGAAAGCUGGGGGAGCAAACCGG